AUAUUUAUCAAAAAGUGACUGUGAAAACAGUGGUAUUUCCCUCCCAGACACAGCAGAUGAGGAGAAUAACCGAGGCUGUUUAACCAGGCUGGGGGAGCCAAUACAGGAGCUGUUAUUAAAGAGUCACUGCCUGGUAUAAGGGGAGUGACUGCUGGGGGGCUCAGGAAGCAGGAAGUGGGUGGUUGGUUAGGCAAAGUGUUUAAAGAGAGGUUUGGAGAACUGAGCAUGAAUUCAAUAUCUGUAAGUUGUAUGGCAUACAUUGAUAAGAUUGAAGCUUUAUUUAAGAGAAAGUUUUAUACAGACAGACUACUGGUUAACCAGUAAUUUCUAGAGGUUGUACAGUGUAGCUGUGGAUGCAUUAUACAUUAUACAUUCUCAGUGUGGAGAUGUCUCCUCCGUAUUAAAAAAAAGAAGGGUAUAAGCUUUACAUUAAAAAAACAGCAUUAGUCCUUGGCAGAACACAUCACUGGUGCAAACACAGCUCAUGCAAUCAUGGGCAUUGCUUAUUAUAUUUUUGCCAUUAUGCGUGACUAAAUGACCCUUAAUAAUAAUUUGAUAAUACUGCAGAUAUCCUCUAUAAUAAAAAUUGCAAAGCUGACAAACUAUUUACACCAACAUAACUAAUUCACAAACUCAUUUAAUUAUAAAAAUUAUAAAAAAAAUAUGUAUUCAAAAAAAGUAUGUAUUAUUAUAGAUAUCAUUUUUUAUUAGAAAUAUUAGAUUUUUGCUAUAUUGUUUAUUAAAGCCAACACAUUUCCUUUUAUGCAACAUGCUCAGUAGUUUAGCAUAACAUAGCAAAUGAAUGGGUUUUGGUGUAUGGAAAUGUACUUCUAAUUGGUCUAAACCAAUGGCUUACUCUAAAUACACGUAGAGUAAAAUAGAAUCAUUAAAUGAUGACAGAAGCAUCAUGGUUAUUAGAUAAUCACAACCCGGCGGCAUAACAAUUGCCAAGUGUUUCUUAUCCCAUGAGGCCUAAUUAUUUUGCGCUAAUCCCACCUCCUCAUUUUAAUGUGUCUUUUUAGGAUUUGUUGCUGUGGGGGACAGAGUGAAGUGGAUGAUUUAGGAGUUGAAGCAGGCAGGGAAUGAAAAAGCAUUUCUACAAUGCCUAAAAUACAUGUUAAUGAGAAGGAAAAAAGCCACAUUAUCCAUGUUCCUUGAAAGACCAGCUAUUUUUAGAUCACUCCAGGACGAUCAAAAAAAAUGGACAUUUAUUCAGGUUAGCGUGAAAACUAAGAAAUAAUAACUACUAUUUAAAAUAAAAGCAACAUCCACUCUGAA